CCUCGGGAGCAGAACAGCCUUGGUGAGGUGGACAGGAGGGGACCUCGCGAGCAGACACGCGCGCCAGCGACAGCAGCCCCGCCCCGGCCUCUCGGGAGCCGGGGGGCAGAGGCUGCGGAGCCCCAGGAGGGCCGGAGCACUCGUGACUUCAGUGACCUGCUUCUGCCCCUCUAGGUCUAUCAGCGACAGUCUCUGCAUGUUUCCAAGAGCAGUAGAAAAAUGAACACAUUGCAGGGGCCAGUGUCAUUCAAAGAUGUGGCUGUGGAUUUCACCCAGGAGGAGUGGCAGCAACUGGACCCUGAUGAGAAGAUAGCAUACGGGGAUGUGAUGUUGGAGAACUACAACCAUCUAGUUUCUGUGGGGUAUGAUUAUCACCAAGCCAAACAUCAUCAUGGAGUGGAGGUGAAGGAAGUGGAGCAGGGAGAGGAGCCGUGGAUAAUGGAAGGUGAAUUUCCAUGCCAACAUAGUCCAGAACCUGCUAAGGCCAUCAAACCUAUCGAUCGGAAGUCAGUCCAUCAGAUUUGCUCUGGGCCAGUGGUACUGAGUCUAAGCACUGCAGUGAAGGAGUUAGUAGAAAACAGUCUGGAUGCUGGUGCCACUAAUAUUGAUCUAAAGCUUAAGGACUAUGGAGUGGAUCUCAUUGAAGUUUCAGACAAUGGAUGUGGGGUAGAAGAAGAAAACUUUGAAGGCUUAACUCUGAAACAUCACACAUGUAAGAUUCAAGAGUUUGCCGACCUAAGUGAGGUUGAAACUUUUGGCUUUCAAGGGGAAGCUCUGAGCUCACUGUGUGCACUGAGCGAUGUCACCAUUUCUACCUGCCACGCAUCGGUGAAGGUUGGGACUCGACUGGUGUUUGAUCACGAUGGGAAAAUCAUCCAGAAAACCCCCUACCCCCACCCCAGAGGGACCACAGUCAGCGUGAAGCAGUUAUUUUCUACACUACCUGUGCGCCAUAAGGAAUUUCAAAGGAAUAUUAAGAAGACAUGCCUGCUUCCCCUUCGCCUUCUGCCGUGAUUGUCAGUUUCCUGAGGCCUCCCCAGCCAUGCUUCCUGUACAGCCUGCAGAACUGACUCCUAGAUGGACCCCACCCCCCUCCCCCCACCCCUGCUCCUAGGAGGACAACGUGAUCACUGUAUUCAGCUCCAUCAAGAAUGGUCCAGGUUCUUCUAGAUGAUCUGCACAAAUGGUUCCUCUCCUCCUUCCUGGUGUCUGCCAUUAGCAUUGGAAUAAAGUUCCUGCUGAAAAUCCACA